ensembl:snoRNA U3 Small nucleolar RNA U3
AAGACUAUACUUUCAGGGAUCAUUUCUAUAGUUCGUUACUAGAGAAGUUUCUCUGAAUGUGUAGAACAUCAGAAACCAUGAGAAGGAGGCACAGUGUUGUCUCCCGAGCGUGAAGCCAGGUCCUGGUGUUGCUUCGCUGCAACUGCCAUUUGCCAUUGAUUAUGGUUUUUCUCUUCCUUUGGGAAAGUAAGAGGGAAAGGAUGCAGUCUGAGUGGU